UUCGCACGACGCGCGUCUCGUCUCUGCGUGCGCGUGUUCGCGGCUGCACACGGUUAUUGUCGACCGGAAUGAUCGAUAAAUGGGAGAAAAAAAAAAUCACCGCUUUAAAUAAAACAAAAAAAAUGUGAUCUCUAGGGACUCGUGUUCAUGCCGUAUAUUAUCGUCGUCUUCGUUCUGGUUCGGUGAAAAUAGUUUGAAUUUUUUUUUUUUUGUUUUAAUAUUAUACUGUACACCCAUCACCACCGCGGACAUUAUUUCCAAUUACGUUUUCUCACCUGCAUACCAUCACCCCUUGUGUGUGCGCGCGAGCACGUGAUCGUGGAUAGCUGCUCGGUACCAUCGCGGUUCGUCGGUAGGUACCUACGUGACAUUUCCGGGACUCACUAUCGCGCGUGUCUGCGCCGGAGGAAAGGCACCGAGUAAUGUAGUCUAAGGCCACAGAGUUAUAUGCUGCAGUAAGUGCAUUCAGAUCAUCGACAAACUGCGACGAUAGUGCAUUACUCACAACACUCGUCCAUACAGGGCGCGCGGAAAACAAGACCGCGAAGUCUGCUCAUCGACAGCGACCUGAUGAUAUUGGGUCCUAAACUCCCAAAACCGGGUGAGUGAGAAUAAAUUACCUCCCCCCCCCCCCCUUG